GAGAAGACUGGUGGAUUAAGUGGUCAGUCAAAUUCGACUGGGCGUUCCUCCGCCGUCCUCCGCCGUUAUCCCAAGCAAUAUGUCUCCAUUGGCCGCAGCCACUAGCUUCCAUGGCCUCCCCUUCCCUGAAUUCCCUCAAUACCCCUCUCUUCCCCGUCAUCACCUUCUCUUCCCUAAACCACCCUUUUCCCCUCUCUCCCACCCCACAGUAAGCCUACUUUUCACACACACACACACACACUCGAAAACAUGCACUUUAGUUUGUUUGCCUAUAAUUCAGUGUUACAUGAAAAGAUGUUUCCUGCAGACAUUUCUGAAGUUCCGGCUGGUUCAGCAUUAUCAAACAAGGCUUUUCAUUCGCCGUCCUCAGUACUCAAUUACAACAAAACCGCAAGGUAUUUCAGAAAAAUAAGAAAAGAAGAGACAUUUUCUUUGUAGUUUCCUCUGAUUAAUUUUUUAAUAUUGCAUGCUGCAUUGAAGAAAAUGCUGGAAAAAAAUUGUUGGUUUGUUUUCCUGUUACAGAAUUUAGUGAUAGUACCUAUGAUCGAGAGCUUCGGUACGUGCUUGAGCUUGCUACAGACGCUGAAUUAUAUGAGCUUGAGCAAAUUUUAUUUGGUACAAGGUGCUUUUUGUUUUCUUGUUUUGCAUAUUUCCUUUUUGUACUGUUUUGUUAUUGUUUCAUUGAGCAGAAGUGUGUGAUUGGAGGAUGUGUUAAAUUUUUGUUUUUGGUUUUGGGGGCUCAAUUUUGAGUGUGUUUGCAGUUAUUUUAGUCCGUUAUUGAAGUCGAUUGCAAAAAAGGAAGAUAUUGAUUACUUUAUGAUUGGAGUGGACCCGGAGGAAAGAGAUGAGUAUAUAUCCAUGUUGGAGAAGAGAUUCUUGUACCUUGCUGCCGAUGCGCGCUCUGUUUUGAGGUUACUUUUUAACCUUGCUAGUUGUGGUUAAUGAAAAUUGACUUUAUAAUAAUGUUGUUAAAUUUUUAGGAAUGUGAAUUUCUGUGCAAUAAAGUGAUUAAGCUUCGUUAUUCAGUAAGUUCUCUGCUGAAAUUUACUCCAACUGUUGUAAUAAGCUAAGCAAAAUAAGUUCUAAGUUGGGUUUUAUAAAGUUGAUGAACAUCAUAAUCCCACCCUCCCUCCCUCUCUCAUGUUGGACUAUUCUGUUUAAAUGAAUAGAAGAAUGAAAUUUGCACGUGUAUUUUUGUUUUUAGGCAAAUGUUCAGUGAAUGCUUAUUUUCAUUUGGUAUUGUGAGGCCAAAAUUUUGUAAUGCAACCAAGUGAAUUCAACCGUUUGCUGUUGCUUAAUAUUGAAUGCUUGAUACCUAUAGGUUUAUUCAGUGUUCUUUGGUGGAGUAUGUACUGUAGUCUGGCAUCAUUUUUUGGUGAACUCGUGCUUCUUUGGUAAUGAAGCCUGUAAUCAUUGCCGAUCAAAUUCUGUUUUCUUCUUUUCUUCUUUUUUCCUUUUUUUUUUCUCCCCAAGAGGUUUACUGGAUGUCAUGUUGAGCUCCUUUGAGUGACUCGAAUUGGCUUGUGCUGCUGUAGGGGUUGGAGGCCUUCCUAUAGGAACAUACUUCUUGGAGUGAGGAAAAAGUUAAAUAUACCUUGUUCAUCUAAAUUGGCUACCGAGGAUCUGGAAGCAGAGAUUUUUCUUCACAUGCUGCAAGAC
rnacentral:lncRNA from 1 species